rnacentral:rRNA from 1 species
GGCGUUACCUAACGGGGAGGCACACACUGUUGCGCGUAUCUCAUGGUUACCCAACCAUAGCAGCAGAGAUACAACACCGGCUCCUAGUAGCCCAUGGGCCUCAAAUAAUGUGUGACUACCCCCUGAAUUUAAGCAU